rnacentral:rRNA from 2 species
CUAGGAUUAGAUACCCUAUUAUUUAAAAUUUAAAAACUGAAUUAUUAAUAGUUAAGGUCUUUAAAUUUAAAAAAUUUGGCGGUAUUUUAGUCUAUUCAGAGGAACCUGUUUUAUAAUUGAUAUUCCACGUUGGACCUUACUUUAAUUUAUUAAUUAGUUUAUAUACCGUUGUUAUAAAAAAUUUUAUAAGAAUAAUAAUUUUUAAAAUUAUAUAUCAGAUCAAGGUGUAGCUUAUAUUAGAGGAAAUAAUGGGUUACAAUAAAAUUAUUUAUAUGGAAAUUAUUAUGAAAAAUUAAUGGAAAGAGGAUUUGAUAGUAAAAUUAUAUAGAUUAAUAAUUUGAUUUUAGCUCUAAAAUAUGUACAUAUCGCCCGUCACUCUUAUUAUUAAAGUAAGAUAAG